rnacentral:rRNA from 1 species
AGGACGAACGCUGGCGGCGUGCUUAACACAUGCAAGUCGAGCGGAAAGGCCCUUCGGGGUACUCGAGCGGCGAACGGGUGAGUAACACGUGAGUAAUCUGCCCCUAGCUCUGGGAUAGCUCCGGUAAAACCGGGAUUAAUACCGGAUACGACCACUUUAGACAUCUGUUGUGGUGGAAAGAAUUUUGGCUAGGGAUGAGCUCGCGGCCUAUCAGCUUGUUGGUGGGGUAACGGCCUACCAAGGCGACGACGGGUA